rnacentral:rRNA from 1 species
AUUGAACGCUGGCGGCAGGCCUAACACAUGCAAGUCGAACGAGUGGCGGACGGGUGAGUAAUGUCUGGGAAACUGCCUGAUGGAGGGGGAUAACUACUGGAAACGGUAGCUAAUACCGCAUACCAUCAGAUGUGCCCAGAUGGGAUUAGCUUGUUGGUGGGGUAACGGCUCACCAAGGCGACGAUCCCUAGCUGGUCUGAGAGGAUGACCAGCCACACUGGAACUGAGUCAGUGUCCAGACUCCUACGGGAGGCAGCAGUGGGAAAUCUUGCACAAUGGGGGCAACGCUGAUGCAGCCAUGCCGCGUGUGUGAAUAAGGCCUUCGGAGUGUAAGGUUCUUCCAGCGGGGAGGCGUUACCCGCAGAAGAAGCACCGGCUAACUCCGUGCCAGCCGCCGCGGUAAUAC